rnacentral:misc_RNA from 1 species
UGAACCAGUAAUACUGCAUCACCGUAAGUAAUCUCCUGAUGCUAAUACUUAGUAUUUCCAAUUUUACAUAUUUUGUCCUUUCCUUGUUUUUACUCUAUAUUUAGGAAUACUUAUAGAUGCUUCAAUAUGUAUAACUGCACUAUUCUUUGAUCCUGCUGAGGGAAAUCCUCUUAGUUGCUGAAAUUAUAGCACUUUGCUGCCUUCCUCUUUUCAGCUCUUGAAAUAAUUUCUAUUAGUCAAAAUCAAAAUGUGAACUAGAAUCAAUUCAACUAAGCUUCAACCUCAACUACUUAAGUGCAAUAAUGCUUUUUGCUUUUGUUGUUCGUUAUUGUUAAGCCAUAUUAAAUCUCUGUCCCCUAUCUCUCUCUCUCUCUCUCACAGCAUAGAAGACAACACCACCGCCACCGCCACCGCUACCGCUACUCCACGCCACCGCCUACGGCGUCGUUCUGUACGUAGCAGAUUCACGAGAUCUGCUCACAAGUCUUAGUAUUUCUCAAAUAUUUAAAAUUCGAACUUUCUCUCUGCAAGUAAAUUCCGGAUUCUCUCAUCUCAUCAACUGAAAAGAGCUCUCCGUUUGACUUAAGAAUAUCUCUCGAUCAUUUCCCUGCAGUAUCUUCUUCUUAUUCAUCUUCUAAUUUUACCAAGAAACAAACAGAAGAUUGCAAUCUCUGGUCUACCUUUCGAGAGAAUUAGGGUUUCUGGUGUAUAUGCAGAUUUAAUGUGCUUGUUUGUGAUCAUUUGAAUUGACUAACUGAGAAGAUUGGAAGUUGGUCCUGGUGUCAGAAUCAGGGUUUCCAUAAAUGCUUUAGGGGUUUUAGGGUUUAAUAUCCAAGAGGAGAGUUCUGAUUUGGUCUUCUAAAUCCAAUUCGAUUGUAAUCAAGAUUCUGUCGAUCUGAUUUUGGAACGCGAAGUUAGGGUUUAUGAUGGUAGAAUGACAAUGGUGCGGCUUCUGGGACUGAGUCGUGGAGAAUCAGACGAGUCACCCAGGGAAAUAACCUCGCGAACUAAUCUAAUAAGUGAGUCAGGGGAAAGCGGGUGGCUAAUCAGGUUCUUCGACUCGGCCUUUUUCUGUGAGUGGAUCGCAGUGAGCUACCUAUACAAGCAUGAUCAUGCUGGUGUACGUGACUAUCUAUGUAACAGAAUGUAUACGUUGCCUUUAUCAGGUAUCGAAAGUUACUUGUUCCAAAUUUGUUACAUGUUAAUACACAAGCCGAGCCCAUCUUUGGAUAAGUUUGUCAUUGAUAUAUGCUCUAAGUCACUAUUGAUAGCUCUGAAGGUGCAUUGGUUUUUGUUGGCUGAGAUUGAGGAUUCUGAUGAUAAUGAAGGGAUUAGUAGAAUUCAGGAGAAGUGUCAGAUUGCAGCUACUUUGAUGGGAGAAUGGCCCCCACUUGUGCGGCCACCAAGUGGGUCUUCCAGCCCCGGGGGUAAGAACCCAGUCCUGAAUAAAAUCUUGUCAUCAAAACAGAAGUUUUUGUCACUGACAUCUUCACCACCUGCUAAUAAGUCUCUGUCUUUUUCACCCCCAUCGGGGAAUAGUUUACUUGAGGAUGGAAAUUUGUUAUCACCAGAUGAGAACAACAUUUUUAAGAAGCUUAUUCCAGGUCCAAAAGUUAGAGAUGCAUUGUUGUUUAGGAAGUCAGUGGAGAAAGAGGAGGAAGAGAGUGAGAAAGAUGGAUUUUUUAAGAGACUUUUGCGAGAUAGUAGUAGAGGUGAGGCUGAGGAGGCGGCAUCGAAUUCAGAUGGGUUUUUCAAGAGGCUUUUGAGAGAUAGCAGUAGAGGAGACGAUGAGGAGUUGACAUCAACCUCAGAUGGCUUUUUUAAGAGGCUUUUGAGGGAUAGUAGUAAAGGUGAGGAUGAGGAGUUGACGUCUAGCUCGGAAGGAUUUUUCAAGAGGUUGUUUCGUGAUAGCAAGAGUGAUGAUGACGACAAAUCUGUUUCUAAAUCAGUGGAAGAUGAUGAAAAGGAGGGUUUCUUUAGGAAAUUUUUUAAGGACAAGAAGGAUGAGCAUGAAGAAAGGGUGAGCUCUGAAGAGAAAUGUUCAAAAUCUGCAGAGGAUGAAGAAAAAGAGGGGUUCUUCCGCAAAUUAUUUAAGGAAAAGUUUGAGGACAAGAAAGAUGGAAAUGGUAAAAUUGAUGAGGGAAAUGCCAAUGUUGAGGAAGAAGAAACUUCUGAAUUUUCAUUGUUUCGAAGAUUGUUUCGGGUGCAUCCUGAGGAUGCCAAGAGUACUGCAUUGAAAGAGAAUAGCAACAAUGGUGGUUUGUUUGAGAGCAGUCCUGGAACUGAGAAUUUUUUCCGCAAAUUAUUUAGAGAUCGUGAUCGUUCAGUUGAAGAAUCAGAGUUGCUUGGUUCAAAGAAGAACAAAGAGAAGCGUCCAGGUUCACCAAAGCAACAGAAUGACAAGUCAAACAUGAAGCCUCCACUUCCUAAUAAUACUGCAUCACAUUUCAGAAAAGGGGCUUAUCAUGAAUCACUGGAAUUUGUGAUGUCACUAUGUGAGACUUCUUAUGGCUUAGUAGACGUAUUUCCUGUUGAAGAUCGCAAAAGUGCUCUUCGUGAGUCACUCGCAGAGAUCAAUUUGCAUUUAGCUGAAGCUCAAAAUAGUGGAGGAGUUUGCUUUCCAAUGGGAAAGGGAAUGUACCGUGUAGUUCAUAUACCUGAAGAUGAAGCCGUUCUUUUGAAUUCUAGGGAAAAGGCACCAUAUCUGAUUUGUGUUGAAGUUUUGAAAUGUGAAAUGCCAAGCAAUACCAAGGGUGUAGGUGAUCAAAAACUUUCCAGAGGAGGCAUUCCUCUAGCAAAUGGAGAUGCAUUUUUGCCAAAGCCUCCUCCAUGGGCCUAUCCUUUGUGGACUGCCCAGGAAGUGUAUCGGAAUAGUAGUGAUAGGAUGUCAAGAUCUACAGCUCAAGCCAUUGACCAGGCAAUGUCCCAUAGUUUGGAGGCAAGAAUGAAAUUUGUUAAUGUGAGCCUCUCUGUGGUGAAGCAAUUGCCUCGCCAGACGCAUGAUAUCCACCCUGGCAUUAAUCGCAGUGGUCUGCAUCAAAGAGCAACUAAUGGUGGGGAAUUUGAAUGGGUGAGGGUGGUGCUCACAGCAGAUCCUGGAGUCCGAAUGGAAGACAUUGGGGAUCGAGGACCACCUCGUCGCAGGGAGCAUCGUCGUGUUCCCAGUACAAUAGCCAUAGAAGAAGUGAAGGCUGCUGCAGCCAAAGGUGAAGCACCUCCUGGACUUCCUCUAAAAGGGCCUGGCCAAGAUUCAUCAGACGCACAACCACAGGUUAAUGGUGGCAUCCCUAAGGCCAGUGAUGCUCUAUCUGGUGAACUCUGGGAAGCAAAGAAAGAGAGGAUUCGUAAAGCUUCAGUAUAUGGAAAAGUACCUGGUUGGGACUUGCGCUCAGUUAUUGUGAAGAGUGGUGAUGAUUGCAGGCAGGAGCAUCUUACUUUGCAACUUAUUUCUCAUUUUUAUGAUAUAUUCCAAGAAGCUGGUCUCCCUCUCUGGUUACGUCCUUUUGAAGUUCUGGUCACUUCAUCUUAUACAGCUCUUAUUGAGACGAUUCCUGAUACUGCCUCACUUCAUUCUAUCAAGAGUAGAUAUCCCAACAUCCCAAGUUUGCGUGACUUCUUUGUUGCUAAGUAUGAGGAGAACUCCCCAAGUUUUAAGCUUGCACAGAGGAACUUUGUUGAAAGUAUGGCCGGAUAUUCUCUAGUGUGCUAUCUGCUACAGGUGAAGGAUAGGCACAACGGAAACCUGUUAUUGGAUGAAGAUGGUCACAUUAUACAUAUUGAUUUCGGAUUCAUGCUCUCCAAUUCACCUGGUGGUGUUAAUUUUGAGAGUGCACCCUUCAAAUUAACCCGAGAGCUUCUUGAGGUUAUGGAUUCUGACGCUGAGGGAGUUCCAAGCGAGUUCUUUGACUAUUUUAAAGUUUUAUGCAUUCAAGGCUUCCUAACGUGUCGUAAGCAUGCAGAGCGUAUUAUUCUUCUUGUCGAGAUGUUGCUGGACUCUGGUUUCCCUUGCUUUAAAGGUGGUCCACGGACAAUACAGAACCUAAGAAAACGAUUCCAUCUAAGUUUGACUGAAGAGCAAUGUGUCUCCUUGGUGCUUUCUCUUAUCAGUAGCAGUCUAGAUGCUUGGCGGACACGGCAGUAUGACUAUUAUCAGAGAGUUUUGAAUGGAAUAUUGUGAGGUUAGGUUUGCAUGGUACAACAUUCUUUGCUCCCUUUGACAAUUGCCAGUCCAGUGAAGCAUUUUGAUGAGUUUGAUGCAAAUCACUGUACAAGGGCAAUUGGUUUGCUGCAUUGUGUGACUCCGGAGAUUUUGUUGAAGAUGUAUCAAAUACUAAUAACAGAUUGUGGCCUGUUUUCUCUCGGUGAGAGGAAUUUGUAAUUGUAUCGGCUGAAAUACUUUUAGGAAGUCCAGCAGGCUAAAUUUUCUUCUGUGGAGUCGUCUUCUUUUCACUGUUUCCCCUUGUCAUUGAAUAUGGAAGUCUGCUUGUGUUCGGGGAAUUUAAUUAUUCAAAAAGGAGGCAUGCAUUUUCACCCUCUUCAUACAGCAUGUAUAGAUUCAUUUCUAUGAAGAUGACCGGCCAGAUAUGAAAAGGCUGCAAGGGCACAAUUGCUGAUUGAAUUUCACACUUGGUAGUCAUCAGAAGCAACACAAGUACCAAACUCCUGAUUACCUGCCAUUUUGCCAUUAGAAGUUGCUAUAUUCUUCAGAUAGAAGCAUGUCAGACAACAUCAUAUUGGUGUCUGUCUGUCAGUUCUGAUGUCAAAUAUUUGAUGGUGAGUCUUCGCGGGUAUAAUUUCUCAAUGCUUGUUUCCCAGAAAAGUUGUGCUUACAAAAUUCUUUAAAGCAAUAAAUGAAUACAUCAUGUGAGAUCAGUCCUGUUUUCUUUGAAAGUGAAAGAAAAAAUUUGUUUAUUGAAAUCUUAGUCAUAUAUCAUAGUCUUUGGUGGGCAUAGAAUUCUGUUCCAAUUUGUGUAUUUGAUGGACAUGGGCAUGGUAGGUUUUGUGGGUCAGUAAUAGAAAUUUUUUAGGCUGUUUACUCCUGUCUUGAUUCGUCAACUAUAGGAUCAUUCAUGUAAAAUAUGAUAAAGCAACUUUCUGUAAAGGCUUGGUUUUUAUCUCCUGGUACAGUGGGAAAUUUUACUGAGCAAUUCCUGUGAUGAGAUGUGAUUUGUUUAUUCAUAUGUUCU